rnacentral:lncRNA from 1 species
GCUAAGCAUAGUACGAACUGGGUGGACAUGGAGUCAAGGACAUGGUAAGGAAGUCAAGCAAGUGGUUGAUUUGCUCUCUUCUUCGUUUCACCAUGCUGCACCCCUUCUAGCUUAUUAGUCGCCUCUUUCAUCUCUUUUCACUGUACUAACCUGCCAAUAUUUUCCCAUCUUUGCAACGAUUGACAUGUUUAGUUUUAGUUUUACAGUAGACCAGAAUGUAUGCUGAUCUACAGUGAUUCUUAAUUGUACAUGGUCUUCUCAACUUCAAGGUCAUAACCGAUUCAGUUUUGUUUAUAAUCUAUUUUCCCUAUCACUUUUUAACUCUUGAAUUCGCCAGGCCAACCAUCCUACAGUAGUGUAGGAAUUCAGUUAGCACGUCAUAACAUGUUAUUCUCUUUCGAUAAUGCUUUUGUUGGAUUUUUUAGGAACAAGGUGGCGAAAAAAUAAGUGGUUGUGGAAGCAAUGGUUUGUUUGGGGAGGUGGAGAACGUUUUUAUGUUAUUUUUGGUAGGCAUGAAGACACCCAUUUCUAUUUGUUCAUAGUAAUUCACUCCAGGCUUCUGAUUGGAUCAUUACAUUGAUGUUCCAGCUGCUGGGCUACAUGGAGUUGUUUUUGUUUAAAACAUAUGAUCUUGACGCUACCCAUUUUUCCCUGUCAACAUUAGCUUUCUCUCUGCCAUUCAGAAUUGUUCAGGACAAAACCAUGCAGAUAUAGACCUUUAGUAUCCUUCUCAUUGAUGAAAUUUAUUUCCAUCUAUCCAGUAGGUUCACUGAAGGGGAGCCUUGGCGCAGUGGUAAAGCUGCUGCCUUGUGACCAUGAGGUCACGGGUUCAAGUCCUGGAAACAGCCUCUUGCAGAAAUGUAGGGAAAGACUGCGUACAAUAGACCCAAAGUGGUCGGACCCUUCCCCAGACCCUGCGCAAGCGGGAGCUACAUGCACUGGGGCUGCCCCUUUUUUUUAUCCAGUAGGUUCACUAUAACAGCUAGAUUACUUUUAAUGUAAUUAUGAUUAUUCCACUUUUAAUGUAAUUUAUAGAGCUGACGGGCAAAAGUUGUGCAUGUUUUAAUUAGUUACAAAAGAUAUAGUUGGAACUAAUAAAAUCAUGUUCAUUAUUUGGUAGCUAAGUCAGAACUCGGAGUCGGGACAACUCAACAAGGGAACGAGGAGCCUCAAGGGAGAUACCUGCAUAACACUGGAUGCAGUGAAGAAGGAAUCAGAAAUAUUCUUAUGUUUUAGUGGCGGAAUGGCAAGGCGGCCGGUUAGAUAACCUGGGUCCGUGGCGAGUUGGUGGCUCUCGACUACAAGAAGAUCAUUGAGGCAAUCGAUAGUAGGUUGGUAAAUUGCUAACAAAACAUGUUUAGAACUAUAAAAUUGGCUUUGUUCUGCUAUUUAUUUAUGUUUUGACUAAAAGUAGCAAUUUAUGCUUCCGUAUUAAGAUUUCAACAAGAAUCUAUAAAGGGCUCUAAGGGAGUAGAGGAAUCAAAAGAAAACACCUGGCAGUGCAAAGUGCACUUAGGCAGUAAGGUCAACACAAGACUACUCAUGAAACGAUACACAUACGAACUCCCGGACAUUGCAUACCGGGGAGCUUUCUUCUAUUUAGGAUUUAAGGUACUCGAUCAUUUGUUCUAAGUUCAGUAUUAAGUUAAUUUUUGUUCUGAAUGAUUACAAACACAAUACAUGUUGGUCUAAGAAAAGACUUUUUUAAUUUGUAAUCCCUGUGUAAUACCAAUCGAUUUUGUUUUUUGCACAUCUAGGCUGAUAAUAUGCUCACGAAAAGACAGGAAUGCAGCACCACUCCAAUCUUUAGAAGGUCCCCACCCUGUUCUGGUAUGUUUAUGCUUAUGCAUCUACAGAAUUAUUCGAUGUUAUAUUGAUGUGUGAAUGGUGUAUCGUCCCUGUUCUGGUAUGAAAAUCGGGUUGCUAGGAAUAAUCUCCAUCAUUCCUGGGUUGUGCAUAUGUGUUGUUCUAUAUUCCCCUCUUUAUAAUGCUAUGUGUUGUGGUCAACGCUCCCAAGCUAUGAUAGCUCGCUGCUGGUAGGUUGCCGCCCUGGCCCUCACAUGCUACCAGCAUGUGUUACUGUACAUUUUGCUUUCUUACAUGUCUUGAAUUAUAUUUCAAGAAAGAUGACUAUGAUUUAUAAGCACACGAACACAUCACAAUGUCACAUGGUAAUGCCAUGGUGAUGGCAAUCUAGGGUCAUUUCUGUUAGAGAAGCCCCCUACCCCCUAGCCCCAGAUAUGCAAAUUCUGAGCGUCACCACGAAUAAGUGCAGAGGAAUAGUGGGUAGACCGCAAACCCUAAAUUUCUAGCAAUUCUGAAUACAUUCAUGUGCCAAUGAGGUGUCCAUGUAAUCAUGAUGUUAUAUUAGAUUUUUUAUGUUGUUAUUUCUUACCCUGGUAGUACAACUAUGUAUACAAAACUCCAACACUGC